rnacentral:rRNA from 1 species
GAUGAACGCUGGCGGCGUGCCUAAUACAUGCAAGUCGAGCGAACGGACGAGAAGCUUGCUUCUCUGAUGUUAGCGGCGGACGGGUGAGUAACACGUGGAUAACCUACCUAUAAGACUGGGAUAACUUCGGGAAACCGGAGCUAAUACCGGAUAAUAUUUUGAACCGCAUGGUUCAAAAGUGAAAGACGGUCUUGCUGUCACUUAUAGAUGGAUCCGCGCUGCAUUAGCUAGUUGGUAAGGUAACGGCUUACCAAGGCAACGAUGCAUAGCCGACCUGAGAGGGUGAUCCGCCACACUGGAACUGGAGCACGGGCCAGACUCCUAAGGGAGGGAGCAGUAGGGAAUCUUCCGCCAUGGGCGGAAGCCUUGCGGAGCAAAGGCGCGUGGGUGAAGGAAGUCUUCCGAUCGUAAAACUCUGGUUUUAGGGAAAAACAAAUGUGGAAGGUAACGUGCACAUCUUGGCGGGUACUAAUCAAGAAAGCAAGGCUAAAUAAGGG